rnacentral:SRP_RNA from 1 species
CCGCCAAGCGACGGAAGUUUGUGAAUGUGGUCGACCCUC